UAACUGAGAGAGAAAACCAUAAACACAAUGCAAGUGCAGGGAAGAGUUAGAUCUUAAAGUUUAGAACUUUGUCGAUAUAAAUGGAAUACGCAACAUAAAAUCUAAGCACAAUUGAAACAAUUUCUUCAAAUCAUUCGGAUUUCUACUCAAUUCUACGCUAAGACACCAUUGAUAUACAACCCUAGAUCGUCAAAGCUUCUGACAAAUCACAACACGGAAACAAUAUAAUUCAAUUCGCAACAAUUAGGAGGCGUCAAAUCCGAUCAAGUCAACAAACCCAGCUCAAAAGCCACGAGCUUUAAGAAUCAGAAUUCAAACUUAGAAAAAAACUAUGAAACU